GCCGGGCUAGCUCAGUUGGUAGAGCAUGGGACUUUUAAUCUCAGGGCUGUGGGUUCAAACCUCACAUUGGGCG